AAACAACAAGCUGGAACACGUGUGUGCGUGUUGUUUUUUUGUUUUGUUCUUUGUAUUUUUUGUUUGUUUGUUUGUGCUGUUUGUAGUAAGUCUGGUCGCUGUUUGGGUCUACACUGCUUUUAUGAGCUGUAACGCUCACCGCGAAGGUCUGCAGGUUCACUCCUGAACCGCGAGACCAGGAGGAACAACUCCUCCAGACGCGCUGCCUUAAGAGCUGUAACACCGCGAAGGUCUGUAACUUCACUCCUGAGCCAGCGAGACCACCAACCCACCAGAAGGAAAAAAACUCCCAACACGUCCAAACAUUAGAAGGAACGAACUCCGGACACGCUGCCUUUAAGAAUUGCUACACUCAUUGCGAGGGUCCGCGGUUUCAUGCUUGAAGUCGUCUCCCUCCGUCGCCCAGGCUGGAGUGCAAUGGCACGAUCUCGGCUCACGCAACUUCCGUCUUCCGGGUUCAAGCAAUUCU
rnacentral:lncRNA from 1 species